rnacentral:misc_RNA from 1 species
UAUUUUACGGAAUGGGUGAAUCGAAAAUUUUCUGAAAUCUUGCCAGGUUGGAUAAGGGAUUGAAUCCUCAUCGAUUCCACAGCAAGAAAAAGAAUAAUUCAAUAAUCUGUGAAAAUCGGAUCCUGUUCUGAGACGAAUACAGAAUGAAUAAUCUUCACAUUUUCUUUGCGUCAAUCGCAUUGAUGGUAACUUUGGUAACUGCGGAAGACAUAGAAAGCUCCAAGCUAUUCAUUCUUCCAAUAACUCCGGAAUCAUUCAACUGGGGCAUCGAUGGGAAAUACGAUCAAUUCAUUUAUCAACCGUCGUUGUUGAACUCUCCAGAUCUACCACCUUGGAUUCAUUAUACGUACAGUGAGAUAAAUCACAAUGGUUUCUUGUACGGGGUUGCACCACCCGACCAAGCAGACUUUCAGCUCGAAGUUAUUGGACUGAAUAAGUUCACCUACGAAACAAGGUAUAGGAUCAUGGAUAUGAACGUCAAGAAGAAGAAGAACCCAGCUAAGAAUGAAGUGGAAUUGAAAAUUGAUAACUUAAACGUCGACGACAUGUUCAAUAGCAAUCGCACCCAGAAGCUUUUGGACAUUUUUAAAAAUGAAUUAUGGAAAGAUGCUUCGGACCUUUACUUCACGUUUUUGGCAUCUGCUAUCGAAAUGGGAGCUCGACUUCCUCUAAGACCAGGAGAAGCUGAGGGAGUCGUUCUGAGACUGGGUAGCUCUGCAUCAUUCUCAAUGGAUAUGCACGCGCUCCAAGAAGAGGUGAAACCGUUAAAAAAACUGCCCAACUGCCCUCGAGAUUUCAAACGAACCUCCGUGGAGAGAUUGUUCAGAUCCGAGGGAUUCCAUUUAGAUUGGUGCCGCUUCAUAUUGAUCGAGGAGGAUCACAGCCUGCAUCAGGAAAGUGCGAGGCGUGACCCCAAUAUGAAUGUUAUUGGGUUACCGUCCUCAGGAAUUUCUGGUCACACCGAAUGGCGAUGGGCAAGACCGACAAAGGCUGGAACACCGAUCCGAAGUUACUUCAAAGAGAUGGUGAUUACGGUCCUCAUACCUGCCGCAAUACUGUUCAUUCUAGUCAGUUUUUUGUCAGCGACACUUUGCUUGCAUCAUGAAAAAGCAACUGAUCCGGAAUCCCACGGAUAUUUCUACGAGUUAUUUAACGUAUGUGUCGAUCGGAAACCGGGUGUAAGAUUUGUGACAACUUUCUUCCUUUUUUGUUGAAUUUCUUUCGUGAUGGUAAUACAUAGAACGACGAUUAGCCGAUUGUGAGCUUUUCGAAUUGGAUGACUCGUCUUCGAUGAUGGCUUCUAACAACCUCCAAAACGAGAGCCAACACCAGUGGAGGGUCUUGGGAAUGGUUCCGAUGUUCAGAUGGUCCAAUAUGCAUCUUUACAAAAAGGAACG